CAGCCACUCCGUCUUGGAGGGAUUAAGCUUGAGCCUGUUUCUCCCCAUCCAGACCCGUACGGCCUCCAAACACCGGGACAGCACUUCAACAACUUCAUUGGGGUGGCCCGGGGUGGAAAAGUACAGCUGGGUGUCAUCAGCGUACUGAUCAGCGUACUGCUGGUAUCUCACCCCGAAGCCACUGAUGAUCUCACCCAACGGCUUCAUAUAGAUGUUGAACAGAAGGGCGAGAGAAUCGAAACUACACAAGACAAUAAAAGCGGUACACAAAUACUUACAUAAGAGCAAUAAAAGUGUUGUCUUUGAUAUAACUUCUUUGCACCAAUGAUAAUUACCUACAAAAAGAAGAUAUACCGUGAUAUACAAAUUUAACCAUUUAAUACUUAAAUAAGAAUAAAAGAAGUACACAAGACAAUAAAAGAGAUACACAAAAACUUACAUAAAAGUGUUACUCUUUAACUUUAAGAUGUUUCCACCUCAUUUUUUUCAUUAGCACUCUCCUCAUUUCCACGUUUCUUGAUCUUGAUUCUCGGAUCAUUGGCUAAGCAAUGGUGUUCUCUUCACCACUUUUUUACUGCAGGAAUUGAGUCUCAUUUUGGAAGAGCUAGUCCAAUAACAUUGAUAGUCAUGAUGUUGGUUAAAUUAGAAAUAGUUAGGUGACUUCUGCUCUCUGAACAUAUGAUGUUCAUUUUUGAAAAACCCCUUUCCGCUUCUGCAGAAUUUACAGCAAUUGUUCUGACAAUAUCUUUAGCUUUUUUAAUACUGUCAGGAAUUGCAUAGUUCUUUGAAUCUUUUAACACAUUCUCCACAAAAUCUCAAUGGUCGUUGAUGUUAAUGUUGUAAUUGAAAAUGUGCGCAGUUGUUCUUCAGCUGCUGUCCAUGGAACUACUACUUCUUCAAAAUCCCAGUACUCUGGCACCAAAAAAUAUAGAAAUUGUAAUUUAUUUGUGGUGUCUUGCAAUCGGCUACCUGUUUUUAAAAAUUCACAGUCCAUUAGUCUUUUCUGCAAAUUUGUUACGAUGCUUCCUAAAAGUCUUUCCCGAUGAAGUCCAACAAAUCGAUGAUUUUCUACAAAGUUUAUAUUUUUGAAGGUUUCUGAAGUAAUUAGUUUGUCAACUUUUCUUUCGUAUGGACCCUUUCCCUUUGUAAGCUGUUCAAAUGCUUUCAUUGAUCUACUCACCAGCCUUUAUGAGGUCUGUAUUGCUUGCCUGCAGUGCAGUUGAAAGAAGUGAGAUUUCUUCCAGAAUAGCGAUCAUCAAUCCCAAAUCAUUUAGAAAAUAUUUAUUUUUGGACUUCAAGUUUGAUGUCGUGGCAGGAACGAAGUGGAAAAUAGCGGGCUCUGAUGAGCCUCAUGAUAUCCAGCCGGACAAACCACUGCCAGGAGGCUUUCGGGCUAUAGCUGUCUUGAAGGGAUGGUGAAGAAAGGAGAGGCAUUUCGUGGACCGCGAGGAAUUGGCUAUUUCUUUGCUGGAACAGAAAAAAGCUCUCCUGAUAAGCAAUGUGGGUGGUGGCCAUCUUCUGGUGGCCACCUUGAAGCUGGGACAACCGGACCCAAGAAUUGAGCUGGAGUGAUGUUUGGAUGGAGUGCUGGAACUGGGUGAGAUAAUUGCCAAUCUAUACUUAAAGGAAAACUUGAAAGUGGAGUUUUAAAAGAAAUUUGGAGCUUGGAUUAGUGGCUAUCUGGCACUUGGAAAAAAUAAAGCACAUGCGGAAAAAAAUGUGGAGAUUGUAGUACAAACAGUCCAAGAAGAAAUUCUAUACUUGGAAAAUUGGGGAAAGCCGAACAUUUUAGAAGGAAAAAAAGUGAUUUUCAGGAGAAAAUAGUAUUUUGUAUGAGUACCUUAAAAUUCCUGGAUAUUUCAACAAUUAGCUGGUUUUAAUCGACUAUUUUGUAUGGAAUGGAAAUGGAGAGUGCCAUCUGCUGGAGGAAAGAAAAGGUACUGUAAUACUUUAGUUAAAUAGACAAAAAAGAAGCAGCAACAGCUGGAAGACCUGACCUUGGCCAUAUAGAAGAAGAUAAUUUGGACACUGUGAGAACUAUUAAGGAGUAAUUGUGUUUUUCAUUUUUUUUUCAUUUCUCUCUUUUGGAAGACAGCCUUUUAAUUGGAUUUGAUUAUUUCUGAUAAUUAUUAUUUAUUUAUUUAUAAUUAUAUAUUAUUAUUAUAUAUGAAAAUUAUUAUUAUUAACAACUGAGGACAAUAUUUUCCUUCUGCAGAAAAGAGGAAUAAUUGAAAAAAAAGGAAGAAAAGAGGAGAAAAAAGAAAAUUAAAUAGACUCUAAAUUUUGGCUAACUGUGAAGAGAAAAAAAACGUAACCAGUUGAAGGAUCAGAACAGGCAGAAUCAGCAGCUCACAGCCUCCCUGAUGAAGAAAGCCUGCUAGCCGAUGCAAUUGAUCACAGGGCUCUCAGGAAGCGAAGGAGGCAGACGUUGUAUGCAGCGGCUGGGGAUUUCGUCUCUUCAGAGAAGGGCCUGUUUCCACAUUCUCCCUGCCAGGUCCCGUUUCCACGACGAUGUAAGAAUCCUCUUCGUGCUUCCUUGCUUUCCCUGAAGACCAGCUGGAAGGGAGGUGUCACCCAUCAGGUGAAGUUAGGAUGUGGGUGAAAGAAGCCAACAUGGCAGCUGCAAUCGCCUGCUCCUAGACAUUGUGGGGGAUGGAUAUCCACCCUCCUGCCUUUGGAGCAUGCCGUCCCCACUCUGAUAUUGACUUUUUUGAGUUUCUCCACUCAAGAGGAGGAGAGAAAGGAAGAUCAACAAGGAGCCAGGCAAAUUGCUGCACUAAAACAUACCGUAGCCAUUUUGGAGACGUUAUUACAAAACAUUGUUGGGCCCGAAAUGAAGAAGUCCUCCCUCAGCAAAACUUCUUCAAUUUUUCUGGAAGUCACCACAUCUGGUUUCAUGUAUUGUGCACAGCAGCCUAGGCACAUAAAAAGAAAAGGCAGCGUCGAUGGUUGAUGGUUUUUAUCACCCUUCUCCAUUGGCACCUGUGGCUCUGUGACUUUCUGGUGGCUUCCUCUCUUUGAAAUUAAAUUGUCCUGGCUGAUGGAAGUGACCAGCCUCCUCCAGGACCCCUAAAAUUUGUGGCAGGUGGCAAUAGGCAACGAUGUGAAUGCUUUCCGAGAUUCCCUAAGCAAAGCAAUGUUUGUGAAUUAGGACAUUUGCACAUUUCCUUUUUCUUUAUCUUCUGCUUUCUCCUUCCCUUCUGCACCUCCUCUUGCUCCUCCUCCUCUCUUCAAACCCCAGGCCCAUCUAGCACUGAUGAAAUUACCUAGCUGGCUAAUGAAAUGUCUGCAACAAAACAACCAAGCACAGAGACCACCAAGGGCCCCACAGUCCUCCUCCUCCUCCACCUCCUCCUCUUCCUCCUCCUCCUCCUCCUCCUCUUCCCUGUAACCCCCAUUAUCUUCUAGUACUGAUGAUGUUACCUACUUGAGUAAUGAAACAUCUACAAGAAAACAAUCAAGUUAAGAGAGCACCAAAGACCCCACAAUUCCCCUCCUUCUCCUCCUCCUCCUCCUCCUCCUCCUCCCUUCACCUCCACUCUGCAAAAUCUGUUCCCUUCUAGCACUGAUGACAUGACCUAGUUGGGUCACUAAACAUCUGCAAGAAAACAUCCAAGCUCAGAGAGCACUAAGGACCCCACAAAGAUAGAAGUCUCAGCCCCCGCAGGCAUCCCACUCCCACUCACCUCUCUGUCUGUUUCUUCCUGUAAUGAAAAACUUAGAAGUUUUCUGAGCUCCUCCGUCACUAAAUCUUUCUGCCUUGAUUUUUGCAGCUUCACCCCAUAAUAUUUAUAUAGCAUAAUCUGAAGGUGGGAAAAAGAGUCUGUGAGUCCUAGGGAGCUCCACCAAUUGGCCAGGAAAAGGAAAUAUUGGAUAAAUUAUAAUCAAAAAUGGACUCCCUGCGGUCAAGCACAGGGAAAGUGGUUCCGGGUGACCUGAUUGGGCAACAUAUAAAUCUAAUAAGUCAAGAAUUGCCAUUCUUCUUCUUAAAAAGCUACUUUAAACCCCCAUUCCCAUAGGAGGGUCCAAAUGAAAUGUGAAUGACAAACGUUAAAAUGAUUUUUAACAUUAUUGGAAAGAAGGAUAUUGCUGAAUUAACUCAUGGCGAGUCUGCCAUGGCUUGUGGGCAUCGGUGAGUCGGCCACGGCAAGCUGUCUUCUUCUGACAUUGCAUCUAAGACAAUUGCGGCCCUAAAAGUGUAAAACCUCAGCAUAUUUACCUUGUCUUUAGAUGAGAAGUGGGAUGUGCUUUGCUGGAUGGGGGGCAAUCUAGUUGUUUUCUUCCUGGGCAGUUUUUGGUCUGAAGGAAUCUGCUUUGACAACAACAACAAGAACAACAAAAAUGAAGUUGUGAGAAAGUGAAGGAGCAAAGGAAGGAACAGUUUUAUUUUUUUUAAUAAAAAAGUUUUAUUUUUACAUUCAUAUCCAACAACUCAUCCAAUGUACAGUUAUAUACAAUUAGUCGGGCUUGCCCAGUCACCACCCCCUCCUUUUAACUCUCUUCCCUCUUCUACCUUCUUCUACUUUCCAGACCUUCCUCCCCUUCUCUUAUCUACGUCCUCUCCUCCCUCCGCCCUACACCUUCCUCCUCCCUCUUCUACCCUCUUCCUUCCUCUUCUCCCUCCUCUACCCGUCUUCUCCUCUUUCCUAUCUCCUACUCUCUCCUCCUUUCUCCCUCUCCACCAUUCUAAAAUGGUACCUGGGCAGACCCGACCCUACAUUAAUUAGCAAUUAGAUCAACAGAUGAUGCUGUUAAUAUGGCUCUGCACUACAUCCUACAACAUCUUGAGUCUCCAAAGACCUAUGCAAGGGUCCUUUUUGUAGACUUUAGUUCAGCAUUCAAUACCAUCAUUCCAGACAUUCUUCUAACUAAGCUAAACCAGCUACAGGUACCGGAACAGACUUGUAAGUGGAUCACAAGCUUCCUAACAAACAGGAAGCAGCAGGUGAAGCUAAGCAAGAUCACAUCAAAUACCUGUACAAUUAGCACAGGGGCCUCCCAAGGCUGUGUGCUCUCCCCACUUCUCUUCUCUCUGUAUACCAAUGACUGCAUCUCCAAUGAUCCAUCUGUUAAGCUACUGAAGUUCGCAGAUGACACAACAGUGAUUGGUCUCAUUCGAGACAAUGACGAAUCCGCAUAUAGACGAGAGGUCGAACGACUAGCCUUGUGGUGCAACCAAAAUAAUCUGGAACUGAACACACUCAAAACCGUAGAAAUGGUGGUAGACUUUAGGAGAAACCCUUCCAUACUUCCACCUCUCACAAUACUUGACAACACAGUAUCAACAGUAGAAACCUUCAAAUUUCUGGGUUCUAUCAUAUCGCAAGAUCUCAAAUGGACAGCUAACAUCAAAAACAUCAUUAAAAAAGGACAACAAAGAAUGUUCUUUCUGCGCCAACUCAGUAAGCUCAAACUGCCCAAGGAGCUGCUGAUCCAAUUCUACAGAGGAAUUAUUGAGUCUGUCAUUUGCACCUCUAUAACUGUCUGGUUCGGUUCUGCAACCCAACAAGAAAAACACAGACUUCAGAGGAUAAUUAGAACUGCAGAAAAAUAAUUGCUACCAACUUGCCUUCCAUUGAGGACCUGUAUACUGCACGAAUCAAGAAGAGGGCCGUGAAAAUAUUUGCAGAUCCCUCGCAUCCUGGACAUAAACUGUUUCAACUCCUACCCUCAAAACGACGCUAUAGAGCACUGCACACCAGAACAACUAGACACAAGAACAGUUUUUUCCCCGAAGGCCAUCACUCUGCUAAACAAAUAAUUCCCUCAACACUGUCAGACUAUUUACUGAAUCUGCACUACUAUUAAUCGUUUCAUAGUUUCCAUCACCAAUCUCUUUCCACUUAUGACUGUAUGACUAUAACUUGUUGCUGGCAAUCCUUAUGAUUUAUAUUGAUAUAUUGAUCAUCAAUUGUGUGUUGUAAAUGUUGUACCUUGAUGAAUGUAUCUUUUCUUUUAUGUACACUGAGAGCAUAUGCACCAAGACAAAUUCCUUGUGUGUCCAAUCACACUUGGC